AUGGGCCAUUUGAAGGCUUCACCAGCACUGACUUCAGAAAAAAUGAAAGGGAGCCUAGUGUGUCCCCUUCAUCAUCAUUGCCCUCCCCAGCAAUAGUGCCUACCUAGCUCAAGUCUGCCCAGCAGGAUUCACCUAUCCAUUCUCCCCACUGAGCUGCAGAUCUGGCCCACGAAGAGCUCUGUUCCUAGGAUCAUUUUCAUGAUGGGCAUUUUAUAUUAUUCCCUCUGGCUAUGGACAUUUUCUCAUGGCAGAUGAAUCGAGCCUUCAUAAAGUGCACUCUAUCUGUGGAGACAAGAAAGCUGGAAUUGACAUGAUAUUCUCUAAGUCAGAGUGGAUAUGAAUUUGAAAAGAGGAAAAUACUUUCCAGACUUCGGAAUCUCCGCUGGCAUGGACUUGUCAGAAGAUCUGGAUGAUGUAAUGCUGAUGAAGUAUCACCUGCUCUCUCAACUUCAGGACCAACUUCCAUGGGGCAGUGGAAUAUAACUGAGACAGGGAGCUCUGCUUUUUACAACAGGCCUCCUCAGAAAGAAGGGGAAAACAUUACUGAGACACCUGGCUGCACAAGCUCCAGGAACUCAAGAUGUUCCUCUUGUGGAUGUGUUGCCUUUCAAAAGUCUGACUUUAAGUCUGCUCACUUACUCCCCAAGGGCAAAAGAUGUUAUGGAGCCCUCUUUCUUCUCAUUGCCUAGAAUGACAGAUUCUGAAGCAAGCUCCCUAGAGCUCAUUAGCUGUAUAAUUAACCACCUAGCAUUUUCAACUCAAAAUCUUCCAGCAAUGCACAAUGAAAUCAGCAUAUAAAACAGCCCAUCAAGGACAGGCAGCCCUAUUAGCCUGGGAAACAACCUGGCAGGUGUGCCUCUGAGAGGUUGGGAGCACUGAGCUUCCCUUCCCCUGGCCUCUCAACAGCCCUUCAUCUCAGACUGCCGGGGAGCUGCAGCCCUGGGGAAAAUCCAGCCCAGGUUUUGCGCCAUUUCUCCUGCAAGCUUGGAUGGGUAGCUUGGAAAAUCUGUUUUGCUCCAGGUAGAAAACCAGUCAUGAUGAAUUAAUCUAAUGCACUUACUUGUUUUUUAAUUUAAAAGUGUAUCUUGAGGUGUAUUCCCUAGCUGAAAGCUCUGCAGCAGGCAAACACACAGGACUCCAAAAUGCAGAGGGAGAGGCUUUUUCCUGCCCCUUGACUCUCUGACCCAGAAAAUCAAUCUAGUGAUAUUGUUGCAAUGUAUUCUAAGAAACAUAAGCUAAUCAACUGAGAAAUCACUCCUUGGUGGUUCAUAAUCAUUAAAAGGACCUUAUAAGCAGUAAGUGACCCACAUGCCCCAUAACUAAGGUUUGCAUGGAGAUGGGGCAAUUUUCUGUCCUUUUAGAAGCCUUGGUGUUAUUCCCAUUAAAAGGAGAAAGCAAUAAAUGGUUCUUCCCUGUGGUUUAUCUCCUCCUUCUAUUUUUCUUGCAUGGUCUUCAAAGCAGAGGGAUGCCUAGGUACUGACCUGGUGAAUAUAUAUCGUAAUAAUGGAUCAUGAUUAUGAAAUACAGUGAUACUUGGCUUCAUGAACUUUAUUUGUUCCACGAUUUUUGAAAAAGAUGGCCAAAUUGUGUUUGUGCAGGAAAGAUGGCUGUCGUCAUGUUUGUCAUGCAA